rnacentral:rRNA from 1 species
AGUAACGCGUGAGCAACCUGCCUAUGACAGUGGGAUAGCCUCGGAAACCGGGAUUAAUACCGCAUAAAAUCGUAGAAACACAUGUUUCAACGGUCAAAGAUUUAUCGGUCAUAGAUGGGCUCGCGUCUGAUUAGAUAGUUGGUGAGAUAACAGCCCACCAAGGCGACGAUCAGUAGCCGGUCUGAGAGGAUGAACGGCCACAUUGGAACUGAGACACGGUCCAA